UCAGAACCCUGUCUUGCUGUUGUUCUUCAUGUCUCUUGUCCCACCAUUCUUUCUCAGCAGGUUUCGAGCCCUCGUUACCGUCCUGCAGGCCAGGACAGACUGGCACCCAACUUUGGGGCUCGAUGAUUCCCUGUAAUCGAGAAAAGAACGUCACUUCAUACAAGGAGGGGAGCGCUCCCUGCAUAUCGGCCGAUGAAAGGCCACAUCUCAGCAGAGGAAAGGAGGACCUCAGCGUCAACCCGUGAAUUCUUCAGUCAUUGGCAGUGGCCAAACGGAAAAUGGAGAACAAAUUUAGUUAUCUGCAAAAAGGAUUAAACUCCAGAAUGAAGAGAUGGAGUCUUCUACAACUUCUGAUG
rnacentral:lncRNA from 1 species